rnacentral:rRNA from 1 species
UACGUAGGCAGCGAGCGUUGUUCGGAAUUACUGGGCGUAAAGAGUGUGUAGGCGGUGCUCUAAGUUCGGUGUGAAAUCUCCUGGCUCAACUGGGAGGGUGCGCCGGAAACUGGAGUGCUUGAGCGUGGGAGAGGAAAGCGGAAUUCCUGGUGUAGCGGUGAAAUGCGUAGAUAUCCGGAGGAACACCUGUGGUGUAGACGGCUUUCUGGACCAUAGCUGACGCUGAGACACGAAAGCGUGGGUAGCAAACAGG